GAACGCUGGCGGCAGCUUACACAUGCGAGUCGAGCGCCGUAGCAAUACGGAGCGGCAGACGGGAGAGUAACACGUGGGAACGUACCUUUCGGUUCGGAAUAACCCAGGGAAACUUGGACUAAUACCGAAUACGUCCGUAAGGAGAAAGAUUUAUCGCCGAAAGAUCGGCCCGCGUCCGAUUAGCUUGUUGGUGGGGUAAUGGCUCACCAAGGCGACGAUCGGUAGCUGGUCUGAGAGGAUGAUCAGCCUCACUGGGACUGAGACACGGCCCAGACUCCUACGGGAGGCAGCAGUGGGGAAUAUUGGACAAUGGGCGCAAGCCUGAUCCAGCCAUGCCGCGUGGGUGAUGAAGGCCUUAGGGUUGUAAAGCCCUUUCGGCGGGGAAGAUAAUGACGGUACCCGCAGAAGAAGCCCCGGCAAACUUCGUGCCAGCAGCCGCGGUAAUACGAAGGGGGCUAGCGUUGCUCGGAAUCACUGGGCGUAAAGCGCACGUAGGCGGGUCUUUAAGUCAGGGGUGAAAUCCUGGAGCUCAACUCCAGAACUGCCUUUGAUACUGGAGACCUGGAGUUCGGGAGAGGUGAGUGGAACUGCGAGUGUANAGGUGAAAU
rnacentral:rRNA from 1 species